GCCCGCUACAAAGUUAUGAUAUACGUCCUUUAAAUAUCCUACACAUUUUAGUCAUGAUAAUACAUUGAUUAGCUAUGAAACAAUGUUCACUAACCUCUUACACUAACUCCAUUCUAUGACCCAUCAUUCUUUGAUGUGAAUACGACUUGUUAUUAUAUCUUUUUACACACUUAACACCUCAUUAUGUUCAUUAGAAUAAGUUAAGUAAAACAUCUCCCAAUAUGUACAUUUAAAAUCUCAUUACUUGGCCUGAUCUACCACCAGCGCGGCCGCGCCACAUUUGGCCUUGGUACCAGCGUGGCAGCGCUUUUGCGCAGUCGAGCCCAGUUAAGCUUGGAUCAUGGUGUGACAGUGCCCUCCUGCAGAAUAAGUUUUCCAAUUUUGUUUCAUACUCUGUUUCCAUCUGAACUUUCUAUCUUAUUCAUUUAGGGACCAAAUCAGAUAGUUUACAAUUCUAUAAACUCGCUACACACUGAACUACACAUUUACAUAACAAUUUUUCCAUUACAGGAAUUCUAUCCAACCAUUUAAAUAACCCAAAUUCAGUAUUCAUGUUAUAUAUUCCUAUUUUAACAUAUUUUACGAAUUCGUUGUAAGUCCGAUUUAAUUCAUUCAAACUGGAUUGUUUUUGUAUUUGAGAGAUAUAUAACAUAGAAUCAUCAAUUCAAGACUUUAAACAUAAUAUUAGAACCAAUUUAUCCUCUAAAUCAGAGCCAAAAUAUCUAAAAUCAGUCCAAAGUCUAUUUCUUUCUCUUUUACACACAAAUUCUAAUUUGAUUACUCUAAUUUUACUGUAAAUGACAAAAAUCAAAUUAUUAAUCAAUUGAAAUCACGUAAUUUGAAAUUUUCACCAACUCAUUCAACCAAACAACUUCUAAUAGAGAAAAACUUAAGAAAUAGGAAUAAGAAGUUUUGAAGUGUCUUUCCUACCUCUUAGAUCUUCUUUAGCCUAGUUAGAUUAUGAAGAAUGCUUGGUUAACUCUUCCUUCUUCUCCUUGAUCAACAAAGUUUUCUCCAUACUUCGCAGGAAGCCCAUUGACGCUCUUUCUCUCUCUUUGAGUUCUCUCAAUUUUCUCUCUACCGGAUUUCUUCUUAACGAAAUGGAAUAAUAAGGAAAUGAGAGUAAUAUACUUGUAAUUAAUUAACCGAUCGGUUAAGGAAUGGAAGGUCAGAGCCGUUUGGGAGAGCUCAGGUACAUUUCAAGGUUUAUUAUUAUUAUUAUUAUUAUUAUUAUUAUUAUUAUUAUUAUUAAUUUCCCUCUGCAAGUCUCCUCCACUCUCCAUCCUUAUUAAACUGAAAACACCUUGCUUAAUUUCUAUUAGUCAAGGUAUUUUUAAUUGCCUGCUAUAUUAUUUAGCCUUUUCACUUCCCCUAUUAUAUCCAGUUAAUACUUCUCAAAUAUAGAUAGUUAUAUCCCAUUUAUCCACCCAUUAAACUAAAUUUUAUAUUUUAAUUUGAACUUAAAUUGGGUUUCUUAAGAAAUGAAAUUAGGCAUUUAAUUUUCACAUAUUCGGAAUAUUUUAUUCCCUACACUCAGACCUUAUUUAAUUUAAUAAAAUUCUAUUAAGCCAAUUAUCAAUUAAAUCAAAUUUAAUUCUUUUAAUUAGAUUAAUUAUAUUCUUCAUCCAUUAGCGUACAAAAAUAAUCAUAUAUUUGGGUAACAUAAAUACACCAAAUAAAUUAUUCUAAACAAAAUUCUCACCAAAAUAUUUAUUUAAUUCCAUAAAUAUUUGUAACUCUUUUUAAAAAAUUACAAUCGUUACAGUAUAUGUUACCCAUUUAUAAUACAAAAAGUGUAGUAAAGAGAAAUCAUAAAAUUUAAAACUAAAAUACAGUUCGAACUCCAAAGUUUACAUGUAAGAGUAUGGUCAUACCCCAAACUUUAAAAGGUGCCUUCUUUCACCCUUUAUUUAUACAUUAAAUAAACUAAACAAAUUCCACUGAAGGAAUUUUUUAUUUUUAGAGGCAUGUGUUUGAUCCAUCAUCGUCAAGUUAUAUUUGGUGUGAUUGUUUCUCUGAAACAGUGGAGAACAUUCAAGAGAUUGAGGUGUUUUGUGUAUGGGCGAGUAUACUCAUUGUUGCAGUGUAUAGUCGGUUAAGCAAGGGCGGAGCAAGGAAUUUUUGCCGCCCUGGGCUACCAAGUACCAACCAUAUACACAAGAAAUUAUCCCACCAAGAUCAAUCAUAAAUUCAAAAUAUAUAUAAAGGUUACCUUGCCCAAAACAUUGGCUAAUUCACAAGUUUUAGCAUAACAAUCUCUUAGAGGCAAAAUUUCAAACAAUUUAAAGGCGUACUCUAAAAUCCCAGAUUUCAUAAGCAUAAUAGAUGGAGCUUAGCCAAAAAUUUCAUCCUUAUUACUCCAAUUAGCAUAUAUAUAACCUCCCAUCACAUCAACAAAGCAAUUUCAAUACGUUAUUUAACUCAAAUUCACGAAUUUAACAAGUAUAAACUAAAUUACCUUUUUGCUUCAUGUUUUUACUUGAAUCCUUGAUUCAAUCUUGCUCCCAACUUGCUUUGAUUGAAUUCAAUUCUUCAUUUGGACAAUACUUUUGCUUCACUUCUACUUUAAUUUCAGUACUUGAUAACCUCAAUUCCUUAAGAACUUGAUGGAGUUUUUAGUCCAAGCAAAGAGAAAGAGGUUGGAACGGAUGGAAAGCAAGGAACUGUCAAAAACUUCACCCGGGCUAGAGCCCAUCCCAGCCCAAGCGUGGCUCCGCCCCUGCGGUUAAGGGAUGUUGGGUGUAAGUAAUUUCAGUGUAUCUUAUUUUGAAUCAGUGGAGUUUUAGAAGUGAAAAUUGAGAGUCAUUGGUGAGUUUUAACAGUUUCAACUAUGUGUAAUAUUUGGUUAGAAAAGAUAUUAAGCUAUUUUUGAGAAAAAGUUUAG
rnacentral:lncRNA from 1 species